CAGGGAUUGCCCUAGUAACGGCGAGUGAAGCGGCAACAGCUCAAAUUUGAAAUCUGGCGCAAGCCCGAGUUGUAAUUUGUAGAGGAUGCUUCGAGGCAGCGGCCGGUCUAAGUUUCUUGGAACAGGACGUCAUAGAAGGUGAGAAUCCCGUAUGCGACCGGUUGGCACCUCACACGUAGCUCCUUCGACGAGUCGAGUUGUUUGGGAAUGCAGCUCAAAAUGGGAGGUAAAUUUCUUCUAAAGCUAAAUAUUGGCCAGAGACCGAUAGCGCACAAGUAGAGUGAUCGAAAGAUGAAAAGCACUUUGGAAAGAGAGUUAAAAAGCACGUGAAAUUGUUAAAAGGGAAGCGCUUGCAACCAGACUUGCCCGCGGUGUUCCGCCGGUCUUCUGACCGGUCCAUUCGCUGCGAGCAGGCCAGCAUCGUCUGGGGCCGCCGCAGAAAGGCGUCGGGAAUGUACCUCCCCCGGGAGUGUUAUAGCCCUUCGCACAAUUCGGCGCGCCUCGGGCGAGGUCCGCGGUUCGCCUUGGAUGCUGGCGUAA
rnacentral:rRNA from 1 species